rnacentral:rRNA from 1 species
UACGUAGGGUGCAAGCGUUGUCCGGAAUUAUUGGGCGUAAAGAGCUCGUAGGCGGUUUGUCGCGUCUGCUGUGAAAACGCGAGGCUCAACCUCGCGCCUGCAGUGGGUACGGGCAGACUGGAGUGCGGUAGGGGAGAUUGGAAUUCCUGGUGUAGCGGUGGAAUGCGCAGAUAUCAGGAGGAACACCGAUGGCGAAGGCGGUUCUCUGGGCAUUACCUGACGCUGAGGAGCGAAAGUGUGGGGAGCGAACAGG